rnacentral:rRNA from 1 species
UACGUAGGGGGCUAGCGUUGUCCGGAUUCAUUGGGCGUAAAGCGCGUGUGAGGCGGCCAGGUAGGUCCGAUGUGAAAACUGGAGGCUCAACCUCCAGCUGUCAUUGGAAACCAUCUGGCUAGAGUCCGGAAGAGGAGAGUGGAAUUCCUGGUGUAGCGGUGAAAUGCGCAGAUAUCAGGAAGAACACCGAUGGCGAAGGCAGCUCUCUGGGACGGUACUGACGCUGAGACGCGAAAGCGUGGGGAGCGAACAGG